CCUACGGGUGGCAGCAGUGAGGAAUAUUGGUCAAUGGACGAGAGUCUGAACCAGCCAAGUAGCGUGAAGGAUGACUGCCCUAUGGGUUGUAAACUUCUUUUAUAUGGGAAUAAAGUGUUCCACGUGUGGGAUUUUGUAUGUACCAUAUGAAUAAGGAUCGGCUAACUCCGUGCCAGCAGCCGCGGUAAUACGGAGGAUCCGAGCGUUAUCCGGAUUUAUUGGGUUUAAAGGGAGCGUAGGUGGAUUGUUAAGUCAGUUGUGAAAGUUUGCGGCUCAACCGUAAAAUUGCAGUUGAAACUGGCAGUCUUGAGUACAGUAGAGGUGGGCGGAAUUCGUGGUGUAGCGGUGAAAUGCUUAGAUAUCACGAAGAACUCCGAUUGCGAAGGCAGUUCACUGGACUGCAACUGACACUGAGGCUCGAAAGUGUGGGUAUCAAACAGGAUUAGAUACCCUUGUAGUC
rnacentral:rRNA from 1 species